rnacentral:rRNA from 1 species
UACAAAUAAUGCGAACAUAUUAGGAGUCCUGCCUGCCCGGUGACUUAGUUAAACGGCCGCGGUAUCUUGACCGUGCAAAGGUAGCAUAAUCAUUUGCCUCUUAAAUGGGGGCUGGUAUGAAUGGCAAGACGGAAAUUAAGCUGUCUCUCCCUUGGUUUCCCUAAUUUAAUUUUUCCGUGAAGAAGCGGAAAUUUAGUCGUGGGACGAGAAGACCCUGUCGAGCUUUAGUGGUUAUUUUCUAGGCAGAGUAAAGGCCGUUUGCUGCUAAUUAACUUAUAAAAGGAAUUUGUUUUACGAGGCGAAGGACCUUGUCUUGGGAAGUACGCUUUGGUUGGGGCAACCGCGGAGUAUAGAAAUCCUCCGUUAAGUUAACUAAAUGAAGUUAUAUCUUUUUUGUGGGCUUACUAUCGGAUUGAUCCGCCUGUAUGGGGGCGAACAAAUGAACAAGUUACCGCAGGGAUAACAGCGUAAUUCCCUUGGAGAGUUCGUAUUGGUAAGGGAGUUUGCGACCUCGAUGUUGGAUCGGGAUUUCCUGGGGGUGAAGCAGCUCCUAAGGGUUGGUCUGUUCGACCAUUAAAAUCUU